GAGUUUGAUCCUGGCUCAGGAUGAACGCUAGCGGCAGGCCUAACACAUGCAAGUCGAGGGGUAGAGCUACUUUAGUAGUUUGAGACCGGCGCACGGGUGCGUAACGCGUAUGCAAUCUACCUUAUACAGAGGGAUAGCCCAGAGAAAUUUGGAUUAAUACCUCAUAGUAUAUUUGAGUGGCAUCAUUUAGAUAUUAAAGAUUUAUCGGUAUAAGAUGAGCAUGCGUCCCAUUAGUUAGUUGGUGUGGUAACGGCAUACCAAGACGAUGAUGGGUAGGGGUCCUGAGAGGGAGAUCCCCCACACUGGUACUGAGACACGGACCAGACUCCUACGGGAGGCAGCAGUGAGGAAUAUUGGUCAAUGGAGGCAACUCUGAACCAGCCAUGCCGCGUGCAGGAAGAAUGUCCUAUGGAUUGUAAACUGCUUUUGUACGGGAAGAAAACGUGCUAUGUAUAGCAAACUGACGGUACCGUAAGAAUAAGGAUCGGCUAACUCCGUGCCAGCAGCCGCGGUAAUACGGAGGAUCCGAGCGUUAUCCGGAAUCAUUGGGUUUAAAGGGUCCGUAGGCGGGAUUAUAAGUCAGUGGUGAAAGUUUGCAGCUUAACUGUAAAAUUGCCAUUGAUACUGUAGUUCUUGAAUUUUUGUGAAGUAACUAGAAUAUGUAGUGUAGCGGUGAAAUGCAUAGAUAUUACAUGGAAUACCAAUUGCGAAGGCAGGUUACUAACAAAGGAUUGACGCUGAUGGACGAAAGCGUGGGUAGCGAACAGGAUUAGAUACCCUGGUAGUCCACGCUGUAAACGAUGGAUACUAGCUGUUUGGUUUUCGGACUGAGUGGCUAAGCGAAAGUGAUAAGUAUCCCACCUGGGGAGUACGCACGCAAGUGUGAAACUCAAAGGAAUUGACGGGGGCCCGCACAAGCGGUGGAGCAUGUGGUUUAAUUCGAUGAUACGCGAGGAACCUUACCAGGGCUUAAAUGUAGAUUGACUUAUUUGGAAACAGAUAUUUCUUCGGACAAUUUACAAGGUGCUGCAUGGUUGUCGUCAGCUCGUGCCGUGAGGUGUCAGGUUAAGUCCUAUAACGAGCGCAACCCCUGUUGUUAGUUGCCAACGAGUGAUGUCGGGAACUCUAGCAAGACUGCCGGUGUAAACCGUGAGGAAGGUGGGGAUGACGUCAAAUCAUCACGGCCCUUACGUCCUGGGCCACACACGUGCUACAAUGGCCGGUACAGAGAGCAGCCACUUGGUGACAAGGAGCGAAUCUAUAAAGCCGGUCACAGUUCGGAUUGGAGUCUGCAACUCGACUCUAUGAAGCUGGAAUCGCUAGUAAUCGGAUAUCAGCCAUGAUCCGGUGAAUACGUUCCCGGGCCUUGUACACACCGCCCGUCAAGCCAUGGAAGCUGGGGGUACCUGAAGUCGGUGACCGCAAGGAGCUGCCUAGGGUAAAACUGGUAACUGGGGCUAAGUCGUAACAAGGU
rnacentral:rRNA from 1 species